CCUACGGGCGGCAGCAGUGGGGGAUAUUGGACAAUGGGGGGAACCCUGAUCCAGCGACGCCGCGUGAGUGAAGAAGUAUUUCGGUAUGUAAAGCCCUGUUAGCCGGGAAGAAAGAACUGACGGUACCUGACCAAGAAGCCUCGGCUAACUACGUGCCAGCAGUCGCCGCAAUACGGAGGGGGCAAGCGUUCACCGGAAUUACUGGGUGUAAAGGGGGCGUAGACGGUUAAGUAAGUCUGGAGUGAAAGGCCGGGGCUCAACCCCGGGACUGGUGUGGAAACUACUGAACUUGAGUGCAGGAGAGGUAAGCGGAAUGCCUGGUGUAGCGGUGAAAUGCGUAGAUAUUAGGAGGAACACCAGUGGCGAAGGCAGCUUACUGGACUGUAACUGACGUUGAGGCUCGAAAGCGUGGGGAGCAAACAGGAUUAGAUACCCGUGUAGUC
rnacentral:rRNA from 1 species